GGCGGGCGGCGGGGCUCCGUGCGGCCCGGACCCCCGGCACGUCACGGCAGCGAGCGGCACGAGGUCCAGGCGGGGUGCGGAGCGGCGCUCCAGGGCUGCCCUCUGCUUGCGGCUGGAGCCGUUUCAGAGGUGUGAGUUGGGCUGUGUCAGGUUGCCAAACCACGCUUUGAUUUCUCCUUCUGCUUCCUCUCUUGUGAUCUAAUGACAGCGCGUCCAGUUGAAAAGCAGAGGCACGCUUGUCCUCAGCCUGACUCUUGCAUGGCUGUGGGUUGGGAGCACAGAUGCAUUUGCUGCCUGUUAUUUAAAAACAAGAGGAAUCGAGGCGUUCUGUGUCAAAGUGGUAACUAAACUCAUGGCUGUUUCUGGAGCACAGUUUACCCACAGACAGGUUCUUGUCACACCUUCCUGCUGCCUGACCUGCCCACAGCAGGGGGCACUUCGCCCCAUCUGGCCAUUGGAACUUCUUGGCAGUUGCGCUUGCAGACGGUCAGCUGAAAACCAACCCCAGGGGCAACUGGGGCUGCUUUCCUGAGAUCAAAUAAAGAAAACUUAAUGAGUCUGCCUGCA